AAAAGCACUUUGAAAAGAGAGUGCAAGAGAACGUGAAACCGUUAUAGUGGAAGCGGAUAGAGGCGACGUAUCUAGUGCGUAUUCAGCCGGAAUUCGAGGCGAUUUGGGUGUUCAUAGUUCUGCAAAGUCUAUUGCGCUCAUUGUUGUCUUGGAGUUUGGUGCAUUUGCGUACAGAGUGCGCCGAAUCGAUUGAGCGCGCUGUUUGAAGGCGAGAAAGAGGACCAACUUGUUGGAAACUUUCCUUGUUGGAUGACAGUCGAGUUUGAUCGGAGAUUUUGAGUCGUUUGUGGUUGUUGUCGGAGAUUGGAGCUGUUUGUGUACGACGCAUGCGUUUUGCACUUAUGUUUUCUUUCUUCGGCGACAAUUGCCCGUCUCUAAAUUCGGUGUUUAGUCGCUCACCUAUUUGACCCGUCUUGAAACACGGACCAAGGAGUUUAAGGUGUGCGCAAGUCAUUGGCGGUUAAAAGUCAAAGGCGUAAUGAAAGUGGGACACUUAGUGUCUGCGGUGUGAGUUUGGCGAGUUUCGACUUGUCGGACGCAACAUCGACCCAUGACUAGGACUUGUUCUGUUGUGGAGUCUGAGCGUACGCUUUGAGACCCGAAAGAUGGUGAACUAUGCCUGAACAGGACGAAGUCAGAGGAAACUCUGAUGGAAGUCCGAAGCGGUUUUGACGUGCAAAUCGAUCGUCUGAUUUGGGUAUAGGGGCGCAAGACUAAUCGAACCAUC
rnacentral:rRNA from 1 species